rnacentral:lncRNA from 1 species
AAAUCUAUUCCUUUUUUAAUUUCUCUAUAGAGAUUAUCAGAUUAAUUUGUCCAAAUCCGAUGGACUAGAGUGGAGAUUGUCCGUUUAUGCAUUAUUUAAUUUGCAUACUUUAAUCGACUAGGUUUUUAUGUGUCAAAUUCUUCUUUUUGAUAUCCUCUUUAGCUUUCCUAACUAGCAAAACGACAAUUAGUCAUUAUUAGUAAUUAGCUAUCGAUCAUUCAAUAUUUAGUGGUGAUUUUGAUUGCUGCCAAUCAUUUUUAUCUCUUAAGUGGUAAGCCCAAAAGGAUAAUUCAUCAAUUCAACUUGAGAGACAAGAGUGAAUGGUGAAUCUUUUACGGAUAUGUUAGCCACUUCCAAUUUAAUUUGGCGUCAUAUGAGAGAAAAAGGGUAAAUUUUUUAUUAGUGUCUAUAUUUUAAAAAAUUACUCAAG